AAUUACACAAUGAUUUUUUGUGCUCACGUUUUUCAAUCAUAUUUGACAACUGUCCAAUAAACUAAUAUCUGUAGUAGCCAUCUCAGUGUCGUGUUAACCGUUCCUGUAGUUACUUAUUACCCUCUCUGUAGAAGUAACUAAACUGCAUUUCGAAAAAUUUUAUUCCAUUCGCAAUGUAACUUUAAAACGAGUUACUUUGUACUUCUGUCAUAUUUCUUUUUACAGAAUGCGAGGCAUUUUACUGAUAGAGGUGAUGCUUUGCAGUGGGCAGCCAGUGUGAGCCUUUCACCAAACGAGGUUCAGGAAAUUAAAGACAUCCAUUCAAGAAAUUGUCGCAAAAAGUGUCUAAAGGCAAGUCUUCAAUGCCUUAAAGAAUUUUACUGAUAUAGAACUCUUGCAGGUAACCUUUGCUGCCAGCUUUUUAAAGAAAGCAAUACAACAGCACUGCGAACUGUCUGGGGCUGUAUGGUACAACACAAAACAAAGUCCUCCUUGUUGCUUCCAGCCAGACAGGGAAGAGGGGCCUUUUCACAUCAUCUGGCUGCCACUUACAGGACAAGGAAACACCUUCAACCAUAUAUGCCCCCUUCUGCCAUGGAAGUGUGGUGCAUUAGAUGCUUUCUUGUGCAUGUUUUGGCGAGGAUUUAACACCCAACAUUCAAGUCGCAAUGAGAUGGUGCAGUGUCUUACCUGCUUUGAGUGGUACCACUGCGUUUGUUUGGACAUUUCUUUCAAAGAGGCCAAGGAUCUCACUAUAGUGGAUUGUGGCUGCACGUUGCCCCACCCAUAUCGGAGCCACGACAUAUCGGUGUACUCAAACCAAGGUAGCUGUUUCUACGGUUUCUAACGAAGGCGUAUUUGAAGACAUUAACAACAGAACUCCUAAUUAACAAAAGUAUACCUUCAUUAAGGCUACCACUGAACACCGAACAUCGUCUUUUAUCGCACCGAGACUUGAUGAGGUUGAUACUAUGGCCGAGCGCAUGACAGCAGUUGCAAUGCCUAUCAUUGCUUCACUUACGAAAGACCUACAGACCCGGCUCUUUAUGGAUGUGAUGCUCCCAGAAUAAUUGCAUUUGAAAUUGUUUCUAGAACGGCACGGCUUAUGGUUAAGUAUCUCAAGACUUAUCGUAUUUUAAUCUUUCAAUUAUUUACCGCGACUUUUCCAGCUUAAAAAAGGAGUUUUUGAUGACAAGCCUCAUCUGUGACGGUCACCUCCAAACUUGCCCAGUGUUUUACAUGUAACUUUUUGGGUUAACAGGUUUCCAGUAUGCUAUAUUUCCAGAUGGUGUACACUGCAAACCGUUUUUUAUUUCGGAAGUUAUUUUAAGCCACAAUUGCCUAAAAAGUUAACGCUUUUUCUUCUUAUC